AUGGCCAGCCACGGGGCUGCACCGGCCGCUGGAUCCGACUCCACGCGCGUCGAGGUCAGCGGCACAGGCCAGACAAACCAGCCUGCUUAUCCGCCUUUAGUUUCUGGGGAUCAUUCAUGGUCCUCUACGACUGGCGCAGCAGCAGCAGGUUCGUGGAACUAUCCAGUGGCCAAUCAAAGUCAAGACGCAGUAUACUAUGAUCCACAAAGGGAUGUAUCGGUUUCAGGAGAUAAUCAAAAUGUGGCAAGCAGUGCGCCUCCUGCUGUACAGUCGACUAUGGGCUUGACAAAUGCGAGUCAUUCUCAUGUGCCUUACUCAAGUUCACUUCAGCAUGGCUACAAUCCUGCAGAAUAUGCAAACUAUUACUAUAACUACCCACAAGCAACAAAUAGUUGUUCUGUGCAGCAAGGAGGAGCAAACCAACAUUCAGGUGCAGCUUAUCAGCCUCUUACUUCAUUUCAGAAUUCUGGGUCUUACGUUGAUCCUACAAGUAACACAUAUUACAAUGCUGGUGGUCACCAGACUGCGCCAGGAUAUGCAACCACCAACUAUUAUUAUCAGACUGACACUCGUAACGAUGGAAGCUCAGGAAACAAUUAUGCCCAGUCAUACCAGAACUACCCAUCCUCCGAUACCAAUGCAGCCCAAAGUUCCAGUACAGUGCCUGCCAAUUCUUUCUCAUAUCAGCAACAGUACAACCAGUGGCCAUAUUAUUACAAUCACUCUGUGCCAACUCCUGCUGGCAAUCCAGUUGCUGGGAGCAGCAACAUAGAUAAUACAGUCGUUAACACCACUUCUGGUUACUCUUAUCCUAGUACGGAGCCACCUCCGCCGGGUACUACGCCAUGGAAAAGUAAUUCAAGCGCUUCUGUUGCACCUCCUGUACAGGCUCCAAGCGUUCCAGAACCUCAAAAUCAAUACGUCCAACAAGCGCAACUAACUCCAGGGUUCCAAAACCAGUAUGCCUAUCAGGCACCAGGUGUCCCAAUGUCUCAGAACUAUUACGCCAACCAGGCACCAGCAUACCCACAAAACAAUAUGAAUGUGAAUCAAGUACCUUUGAACAACCAUGGUGAUCAACAGAAGAGUGGUUCUUUGACGACAGGUAUUUUCAGUAGCGAAAACAAAACACAGAUUCCAACCAUUCCUCGAAUUGCUCCAGGUUUCUCUAUGGUAAUUCCAAAGAGUGAGAAGAAAACUGUAGGUGCUGAUUUGGCAAAGAAACCUGCCUAUGUUAGUGUUUCUGUGCCCAAGAACGAUGUCAAAGCAGUUCAACAUGGUUCAGACGCUAAAUCCCUCCCUUUUUCGCUGCGUAAUUAUGCCACGAGGAAUCUUAGCCGUUGCAAGGAUGAGGCCCAGAGGGCUGCUUGCCAAAGUAUGAUACAACAGAUCACAAGCAAAGCUAUUAGCAAUGGAACCCUCCUUACUAAGAACUGGGACACUGAACCGCUCAUUCCUUUGCCAGAGAAUCUUUUGACCAUGACCGAAACAAGCAGUGCAAGCAAUUCAAGUUCCUUGCCAAACUCUACCCCUAGAAGACGUUUGAAAAGUAGGUGGGAGCCUGUUCCGGAGGAAAAGGUUACUGAAAAGGUGGAGCCACUAGCAAAACCAUUGAUGAAUGGGAACACCCACAAUAAUUUAAAAGCCCAAAACAGGAUGGGUGAUAGUUGGAAUUUAGGGAAGUCUCUCCAGUCUCCACAUGCACCUUCAAACAAAAUCACCCACCGGCUUUCAAAGAAGCAAAAGAUGGGUAGUUAUUCAAGUGUGGUACAAAAUGGAGACAAUUCAAGUGAUAGUGACAAGGAGAAGGAUCUGACCAAAUAUUACGCCAAUGCAUCUGCAUUAGCAAAUUCACCAGAGGAAAAGAAACGCAGGGAGCACAGAUCUAAGCGUUUUGAGAAGAGUAAGGAUUCAUCAUCAAAAUCAAGAAAUUCUGCAGUGAAUAAAGGUGCCGUGGCUCAUAUACAUACAAGAAGACCUAUUUCAGCUCUUGUUACUGGAAGUUAUAAAGAUGGCAGCAGCUUGGCUGUCGAGGAUAUGGAUUGGGAUGCACUGACAGUCAAGGGAACAUGUCAGGAAAUUGAGAAACGAUAUCUACGCCUCACAUCAGCGCCUGAUCCUUCCACGGUAAGACCAGAACAUGUCUUGGAGAAGGCGCUUUCCAUGGUUGAAACAUCUCAAAAGAAUUAUCUUUACAAGUGUGAUCAACUGAAAUCUAUUCGCCAAGAUCUUACGGUUCAGAGGAUCCAGAAUGAACUGACUGUGAAGGUUUAUGAAACUCAUGCGCGUUUAGCAUUGCAAGCUGGUGAUCUAGCUGAAUUUAACCAGUGCCAGUCACAACUGAAGAGGCUAUAUAGAGAGGGAAACAAUGGUUGUUAUUUUGAAUUCUCUGCCUACAAUUUGCUCUGCGUCAUGCUACACUCUAAUAACAAACGAGACCUGCUGUCAUCAAUGGCAAGCUUAUCAAAAGAAGCCAAACAAGAUGGAGCUGUCAAGCAUGCCCUUGCAGUUCAUGCUGCUGUUUCAUCUGGCAAUUAUGUGAUAUUUUUCAAAUUAUACAAGCAGGGGCCCAACUUGAACUCUUGCCUCAUGGAUCUAUAUGUGGAGAGGAUGCGUUUCGAGGCUAUAAAAUGUAUGUCUAGAUCAUAUCGCCCCACAGUACCUGUGGGGUAUGUUGCACAGGUUUUGGGAUUCUUGCCGAAUGGGGAUGACAGAUCGGAAGAAUGUGAAAUAUGGUUAAAAGCACAUGGUGCUGUUCUUUCAGUGGAUAACGGUGGAGAAUUGCAGAUAGACACAAAGGCUUCUUCUAGUACGCUUUUCAUGCCGGAGCCAGAGAAUGCAGUUGCACAUGGUGAUGCGUCACUUGCAGUUAACGACUUCUUUGCACGUACAUCGUAG
rnacentral:rRNA from 1 species